UGUGAGCUCGAUGAGUAGGGCGGGACACGUGGUAUCCUGUCUGAAUAUGGGGGGACCAUCCUCCAAGGCUAAAUACUCCUGACUGACCGAUAGUGAACCAGUACCGUGAGGGAAAGGCGAAAAGAACCCCGGCGAGGGGAGUGAAAAAGAACCUGAAACCGUGUACGUACAAGCAGUGGGAGCACAGAGCAAUCUGUGUGACUGCGUACCUUUUGUAUAAUGGGUCAGCGACUUAUAUUCUGUAGCAAGGUUAACCGAAUAGGGGAGCCGAAGGGAAACCGAGUCUUAACUGGGCGUUAAGUUGCAGGGUAUAGACCCGAAACCCGGUGAUCUAGCCAUGGGCAGGUUGAAGGUUGGGUAACACUAACUGGAGGACCGAACCGACUAAUGUUGAAAAAUUAGCGGAUGACUUGUGGCUGGGGGUGAAAGGCCAAUCAAACCGGGAGAUAGCUGGUUCUCCCCGAAAGCUAUUUAGGUAGCGCCUCGUGAAUUCAUCUCCGGGGGUAGAGCACUGUUUCGGCAAGGGGGUCAUCCCGACUUACCAACCCGAUGCAAACUGCGAAUACCGGAGAAUGUUAUCACGGGAGACACACGGCGGGUGCUAACGUCCGUCGUGAAGAGGGAAACAACCCAGACCGCCAGCUAAGGUCCCAAAGUCAUGGUUAAGUGGGAAACGAUGUGGGAAGGCCCAGACAGCCAGGAUGUUGGCUUAGAAGCAGCCAUCAUUUAAAGAAAGCGUAAUAGCUCACUGGUCGAGUCGGCCUGCGCGGAAGAUGUAACGGGGCUAAACCAUGCACCGAAGCUGCGGCAGCGACGCUUAUGCGUUGUUGGGUAGGGGAGCGUUCUGUAAGCCUGCGAAGGUGUGCUGUGAGGCAUGCUGGAGGUAUCAGAAGUGCGAAUGCUGACAUAAGUAACGAUAAAGCGGGUGAAAAGCCCGCUCGCCGGAAGACCAAGGGUUCCUGUCCAACGUUAAUCGGGGCAGGGUGAGUCGACCCCUAAGGCGAGGCCGAAAGGCGUAGUCGAUGGGAAACAGGUUAAUAUUCCUGUACUUGGUGUUACUGCGAAGGGGGGACGGAGAAGGCUAUGUUGGCCGGGCGACGGUUGUCCCGGUUUAAGCGUGUAGGCUGGUUUUCCAGGCAAAUCCGGAAAAUCAAGGCUGAGGCGUGAUGACGAGGCACUACGGUGCUGAAGCAACAAAUGCCCUGCUUCCAGGAAAAGCCUCUAAGCAUCAGGUAACAUCAAAUCGUACCCCAAACCGACACAGGUGGUCAGGUAGAGAAUACCAAGGCGCUUGAGAGAACUCGGGUGAAGGAACUAGGCAAAAUGGUGCCGUAACUUCGGGAGAAGGCACGCUGAUAUGUAGGUGAAGUCCCUCGCGGAUGGAGCUGAAAUCAGUCGAAGAUACCAGCUGGCUGCAACUGUUUAUUAAAAACACAGCACUGUGCAAACACGAAAGUGGACGUAUACGGUGUGACGCCUGCCCGGUGCCGGAAGGUUAAUUGAUGGGGUCAGCGCAAGCGAAGCUCUUGAUCGAAGCCCCGGUAAACGGCGGCCGUAACUAUAACGGUCCUAAGGUAGCGAAAUUCCUUGUCGGGUAAGUUCCGACCUGCACGAAUGGCGUAAUGAUGGCCAGGCUGUCUCCACCCGAGACUCAGUGAAAUUGAACUCGCUGUGAAGAUGCAGUGUACCCGCGGCAAGACGGAAAGACCCCGUGAACCUUUACUAUAGCUUGACACUGAACAUUGAGCCUUGAUGUGUAGGAUAGGUGGGAGGCUUUGAAGUGUGGACGCCAGUCUGCAUGGAGCCGACCUUGAAAUACCACCCUUUAAUGUUUGAUGUUCUAACGUUGACCCGUGAUCCGGGUUGCGGACAGUGUCUGGUGGGUAGUUUGACUGGGGCGGUCUCCUCCUAAAGAGUAACGGAGGAGCACGAAGGUUGGCUAAUCCUGGUCGGACAUCAGGAGGUUAGUGCAAUGGCAUAAGCCAGCUUGACUGCGAGCGUGACGGCGCGAGCAGGUGCGAAAGCAGGUCAUAGUGAUCCGGUGGUUCUGAAUGGAAGGGCCAUCGCUCAACGGAUAAAAGGUACUCCGGGGAUAACAGGCUGAUACCGCCCAAGAGUUCAUAUCGACGGCGGUGUUUGGCACCUCGAUGUCGGCUCAUCACAUCCUGGGGCUGAAGUAGGUCCCAAGGGUAUGGCUGUUCGCCAUUUAAAGUGGUACGCGAGCUGGGUUUAGAACGUCGUGAGACAGUUCGGUCCCUAUCUGCCGUGGGCGCUGGAGAACUGAGGGGGGCUGCUCCUAGUACGAGAGGACCGGAGUGGACGCAUCACUGGUGUUCGGGUUGUCAUGCCAAUGGCACUGCCCGGUAGCUAAAUGCGGAAGAGAUAAGUGCUGAAAGCAUCUAAGCACGAAACUUGCCCCGAGAUGAGUUCUCCCUGACUCCUUGA
rnacentral:rRNA from 1 species